AUCAGCUUGUUGGUGGGGUAAUGGCCUACCAAGGCUUCGACGGGUAGCCGGCCUGAGAGGGUGACCGGCCACACUGGGACUGAGACACGGCCCAGACUCCUACGGGAGGCAGCAGUGGGGAAUAUUGGACAAUGGGCGGAAGCCUGAUCCAGCAACGCCGCGUGAGGGAUGACGGCCUUCGGGUUGUAAACUUCUGUCAC
rnacentral:rRNA from 1 species